UACGGAGGGUGCAAGCGUUGCUCGGAAUCACUGGGCGUAAAGGGCGUGUAGGCGGUUUCGUAUGUCUGGCGUGAAAGCCCCGGGCUCAACCCGGGAAGUGCGUUGGAAACUGCGAAACUAGAGUCUCGGAGAGGAAGGUGGAAUUCCAGGUGUAGCGGUGAAAUGCGUAGAUAUCUGGAAGAACACCGGGUGGCGAAGGCGGCCUUCUGGACGAUGACUGGACGCUGAGACGCGAAAGCGUGGGGAGCAAACAGG
rnacentral:rRNA from 1 species